rnacentral:rRNA from 1 species
GAUGAACGCUGGCGGCGUGCCUAAUACAUGCAAGUCGAGCGAACAGAUGAGGAGCUUGUUCCUCUGACGUUAGCGGCGGACGGGUGAGUAACACGUGGAUAACCUACCUUUAAGACUGGGAUAACUUCGGGAAACCGGAGCUAAUACCGGAUAAUAUAUUGAACCGCAUGGUUUAAUAGUGAAAGACGGUUUUGCUUUCACUUAUAGAUGGAUCCGCGCCGCAUUAGCUAGUUGGUAAGGUAACGGCUUACCAAGGCAACGAUGCGUAGCCGACCUGGAAGGGUGAUCGGCCACACUGGAACUGAGACACGGUCCAGACUCCUACGGGAGGCAGCGGUAGGGAAUCUUCCGCAAUGGGCGAAAGCCUGACGGAGCAACGCGGCGUGAGUGAGGAAGGUCUUCGGAUCGUAAAACUCUGUUAUUAGGGAAGAACAAAUGUGUAAGUAACUAUGCACGACUUGACGGUACCUAAUCAGAAAGCCACGGCUAACUACGUG